UUUUGGUAUAGAAAAAACGAUAAAUUUAUUUUGUAUAAAUCAUAAAAUCAACUUAGAACGAGAUGAAGAGUUUUUAUUAGCUGUCAAUACUGAUGGUUUACCGUUAAGCAAAAGUUCGAAUAGUUCGUUUUGGCCUAUUUUAUGCUCAAUCAAAUCAAUAAAAGUUCUUAUAAACCACAUAUUUUUAGUUGCUUUAUAUCAUGGUUCGGAAAAACCAAAAUCUGCUAAUAAUUUUUUUAAAGAUUUUGUAAAUGAAUGUAUUCAUCUAACAACUAAUGGCAUAUUAAUAAAUUCUUUUUGAUACAAAUUCAGAAUUUUAAUGUUAAUUUGUGAUUCUCCAGCUAAAUCAUUUGCUUUAUUUAUUAAAGGUCAUACAGGCCAUUUUUCAUGCACAAAAUGUGAAGAAGAGGGUGAAAUGUUUAAUCAUGUAUUACGGAGACAGAACGUUUUUGCAAAAGAACUGAUCAUACAUUUAGAACUACUGCUCAACCGGAACAUCAUAUUGGCAAAACGCUUUUCCUUUUGAAAAUUAUAUGCAACAAUUAAAGAAGAAAGUUCGUAAAUCAGCUCAGCCUUUACAGCAAGUUAUAUGUACAUCGCGUGCUUGAGGAAAGUAAUAUUGCUCAACAUAACUUUAAUAAUAUCUAAUAUAAUAUAAGUGUUCGAUAUACGACCUAUAUGAUUCACGCCGGACACCGAUCGCGGUGAUAUCACUGUUUUCGUUCUCGUAUCAUCUCGGUGAAAUUCGGCGUAUUCCGAAAACACGGACGAGUGGGGAAAUGAGCCUCGACGGUUUCCAUCGAUGUGUCCGUGAUAUACUUCUGUUACAACAGUCGCGCGAAUAACAAGUAAGACCUUCACAACAACCGGCGAGCGAACGAACGAACAUUGUACAUCGAUCUACUCGGCACCGCAACAAUAAAUCUCGAUCUUGAGAAUUAAAUUUGAUUGCAUAUGUUACGUGGAUUUCCCCGUCACAUCACAGUUUGGCGAGACAAUACAAUUAAGAGAAUUACGGACAUCAAAAUACUCGCAUCACGCAUACGAGAUCACAUUUUCUCGUACAAUAAGCGAUUAAUAAUAUAAGCGAGUAGUUUGGGCACUUAUGACACUUAUAAAAAAGCGCAUCAAAAGGCAAACAAAACCAAAAGUACAAACAUUCUUACUUCUAAUAAUGAAGAGUUGAAAG